rnacentral:rRNA from 1 species
GAUGAACGCUGGCGGCGUGCCUAAUACAUGCAAGUCGAGCGAACAGACGAGGAGCUUGCUCCUCUGACGUUAGCGGCGGACGGGUGAGUAACACGGGGAUAACCUACCUAUAAGACUGGGAUAACUUCGGGAAACCGGAGCUAAUACCGGAUAAUAUAUUGAACCGCAUGGUUCAAUAGUGAAAGACGGUUUUGCUGUCACUUAUAGAUUGAUCCGCGCCGCAUUAGCUAGUUGGGAAGGUAACGGCUUACCAAGGCAACGAUUGUUAGCCGACCUGAGAGGGUGAUCGGCCAGACUGGAACUGAGACACGGUCCAGACUCCUACGGGAGGCAGCAGUAGGGAAUCUUCCGCAAAGGGCGAAAGCUUGACGGAGCAACGCCGCGUGAGUGAUGAAGGUCUUCGGAUCGUAAAACUCUGUUAUUAGGGAAGAACAAAUGUGUAAGUAACUAUGCACGUCUUGACGGUACCUAAUCAGAAAGCCACGGCUAACUACGUG